CACAAACACCCAAAAGGAAAAACGCUAUUUUGACCCCAAAAACAAGCAGCAACAGAGCAUGAAGUCUGUAUUUAUAUUUGCGUUUAUCUGUGCGAUUUCCGUCGCCGCAGCAUCCACCGCCUAUCCAUCCGUCCCCGGCCUCGAAUCUGGCGACUGCUCCCUCACCGGCGACGAAACGAAUCUCGUUCCUCCUCGGCGAGAAGUGUACGAUGACGGACGAAUAUUCGAUAUCACACACAGGUUAGUCCCUGAGAUGCCGGUUUGGGACUCUAAGGAAGGGUUAGGGCACUUUCUUUGGCUGGAGGGUAGCAUGAAGAAUGGCUCACGCGCUAAUGGCUCGGCUAUGAAGUUUGGUGUUCACACCGGAACUCAUGUUGACGCGCCGGGCCAUUUCUAUGAUAAUUACUACGACGCCGGAUUCGAUGUUGAUACUCUUGAUAUAGCACUCCUCAAUGGUCUUGUCCUUUUGGUUGAUGUUCCAAGGGAUAGCAACAUUACUGCUGAAGUUAUGAAGUCCUUGUAUAUCCCUAAAGGUGUAAAACGCGUGCUCUUCAGAACAUUAAAUACCGACAGGAAGCUUAUGUUUAAGAAGGAAUUUGACACAAGCUAUGUUGGAUUCAUGGAGGAUGGUGCAAAAUGGCUGGCGGAGAACACCGACAUCAAACUUGUAGGAGUUGAUUACUUAUCCGUUGCAGCAUAUGUUCACUCGGUUGAGUCUCAUCUUGUUUUUCUGGAAAGCAGGGAAAUCAUUCUUGUGGAAGGCCUUAAGCUAGACGGUGUCCCAGCAGGAAUAUAUUCCCUCAACUGCUUGCCUCUCAGGUUGGUUGGUUCUGAGGCAUCACCAAUACGGUGCAUUCUGAUCCGAUGAAGUCCGUGAGUUGCAUGGUACCAACAUAACCCAAAGGUAGUCAGCGGUAUCAACUAGGAGCAUUUUGAUGCAAACCAAGAAUUGAGGACUAGCUGGUGCACUUAUAAUAAACUUGUGUUUUCAACUUUUACCUCACAUGUAGUCCUUAUGCACCAUUUGAACUUGUAGACCUAUGGCCAUUAAUUCUUAAUAAUUACAUUAUAUAUUAAGUCUUUGUAUCUUAUCAAUAUCUCUAAGUGAGAUUCGUUGAAACAGGGUAUCUGUUGGAUCAUUAGAGAUAGCAUUACUACUAGAUUCUGGAAUUGAAACUGAAGAAAUUGUUGGAUUUUGACAUUGGAGGAAUUUAUUAUUUGUACUAUUUGUUAUGUUAUUGUAAUGUUGUAUUAUAUUUUAUUUUA